rnacentral:rRNA from 1 species
CCUACGGGUGGCUGCAGUGGGGAAUCUUGCGCAAUGGGGGAAACCCUGACGCAGCGACGCCGCGUGAGUGAAGAAGGCCUUCGGGUUGUAAAGCUCUGUGGGGGGAGACGAAUAAGGCUGGGCUAAUACCCCAGUUGAUGACGGUAUCUCCUUAGCAAGCACCGGCUAACUCUGUGCCAGCAGCCGCGGUAAGACAGAGGGUGCAAACGUUGUUCGGAAUGACUGGGCGUAAAGCGCAUGUAGGCGGUCUGAUAGGUCGGAUGUGAAAGCCCCGG